GACGGAAGGUGCAAGCGUUGCUCGGAAUCACUGGGCGUAAAGCGCGCGUAGGCGGCUAGAUCAGUCUGCUGUGAAAGUCAAAGGCUCAACCUUUGAAUGCCGGUGGAUACUGUCUAGCUAGAGUCCGGAAGAGGCGAGUGGAAUUCCUGGUGUAGCGGUGGAAUGCGCAGAUAUCAGGAGGAACACCAACGGCGAAGGCAGCUCGCUGGGACGGUACUGACGCUAAGGCGCGAAAGCGUGGGGAGCGAACAGG
rnacentral:rRNA from 1 species